GAGUGCGGGGCGCCGGGCGCGGGGCGCGGGUCGGGGGCUGGGCGGGCUCCUUCUGUGCAGCGGUCGUGGGCUGGGCCGCGGCCCUGAGGGCGGAGGGGCAGAGCGGGGCCGCCCAACCAGUCCCGGGGCGGAUGCGGCGGAGACCGGCCCCUCCCGCGCCCCCGGCCCGGGUUCUGGGAGGAGGGGAGGCCGGUGGCCGUGAGGAGGUUGGGGGCCCUCGCGGAGGCCGAGAGGCUUAAGGAGGCAGAACUGGGGCUCCCUUGCAUCUUCCAGUUACAAAUUCAGUGCCUUCUGCAGUUUCCCCAGAGCUCCUCAAGAAUAACGGAAGGGAGGUAUAGUAAUGGUUAAGAAACUUUGCAAAGAAAGUGAAUAAUGCCAGUACUGUCACCUUUUGGAACUUGUUGG
rnacentral:lncRNA from 1 species